rnacentral:tRNA from 1 species
GCUGGAGUGGCGAAAUGGCAGACGCAGCGGACUUAAAAUCCGCUGGGGCGAAAGUCCCGUGUGGGUUCGAUUCCCAUCUCCAGCA